UUAGACUCCACUGUGGCAGCUUUAGGUUCAUAAUGAAGAUUCCAAGCAUCAUUUGUUUCAUCUUAUGGUUCAUACAAAGUCUCUCAUGUCAGGAGAUCAGGAUGGAUCAGUCUCCACCUCAGGUGAAGAAACCUGGAGAAAGUGUGAAGAUUUCCUGUAAGAUUUCUGGAUACGACAUGACCAGCUACCUCAUGCACUGGAUAAGACAGAAACCAGGGAAAGCUCUGGAAUGGAUUGGAUUUGUGAACUCGGGUACAACUGAUGAACCCACAUAUGCAGAUUCCAUGAAAGACCGCUUCACUCUGACCGAGGACGUUUCUACAAGCACGCAGUUCUUAGAGGCCAAGAGUCUGAGAGCAGAGGACAGUGCUGCUUAUUACUGUGCCCGAGAGACACAGUGAUGGAUCUGAUGGAGCAGCUGUACUAAA